GAAUGUUUGCUCUUUAGAAAUUUUCUAGAAGGAUUCUUAUAAAAAGAAUCCCAU
rnacentral:snRNA from 15 species